rnacentral:rRNA from 1 species
UACGUAGGGGGCAAGCGUUGUCCGGAAUCAUUGGGCGUAAAGCGCGUGUAGGCGGCCCGGUAAGUCCGCUGUGAAAGUCGGGGGCUCAACCCUCGAAUGCCGGUGGAUACUGUCGGGCUAGAGUGCGGAAGAGGCGAGUGGAAUUCCUGGUGUAGCGGUGAAAUGCGCAGAUAUCAGGAGGAACACCAAUUGCGAAGGCAGCUCGCUGGGACGUGACUGACGCUGAGACGGCGAAAGCGUGGGGAGCAAACGGG